UUAACCGGACUGCCGAGGGUUUCCCUUCUCGGCGGCCAUUCGCCAGGUCAGGGAAGCCGGUGGGAAUCCGGCGCUGCCCCGCAACUGUAAGCGGAACGAAAUCCGAGGGAAGCCCACUGGUCUCUUGAAGACCGGGAAGGCGCGGAGAGUAGGCAUGAGCCGCGAGCCAGGAUAUUUGACCGGCGGAUGAAGACACC
rfam:Syntrophaceae bacterium CG2_30_58_14 cg2_3.0_scaffold_2214_c, whole genome shotgun sequence.